rnacentral:rRNA from 1 species
UAAGACGAACCGUGCGAACGUUAUUCGGAAUCACUGGGCUUAAAGCGCGUGUAGGCGGGUGACCGCGUCGGUCGCUGAAAGCCCCCGGCUCAACCGGGGGAUGGGCGCCGAAACGGGUCGCCUGGAGGGGCGUAGGGGGACCUGGAACUUCCGGUGGAGCGGUGAAAUGCGUUGAGAUCGGAAGGAACGCCCGUGGCGAAAGCGAGGUCCUGGACGCCAUCUGACGCUGAGACGCGAAAGCCAGGGGAGCGAACGGGAUUAGAUACCCCGGUAGUCCUGGCCGUAAACCAUGGGCACUGGGCAGCGGGCUCGCCGAUGGGCGCGCUGCCGUAGCGAAAGCGGGAAGUGCCCCGCCUGGGGAGUAUGGUCGCAAGGCUG